GUUCCCUGUGCUGUAUAUAGCAGGACCUUAUUGCUUACCUAUUCUAAAUGUAAUAGUUUACUCACCCCAAACUCCUAGUCCAUCUCAUUCUGCCUCCCUACCCUCACACUUGGCAAGCACGAAUCUCUUCGGUCUGCAUCUGUUUCAUAGAUAAGUUCAUUUGUGUCAUACUUUAGAUUCCACACAUGUGGUGAUAUAUUUAUCCUUUUCCUUCUUAGUAGUAUGAUCUUAGUUGCAAAUUGGCUGCACCUGUGGCACAUGGCCAUUCUAGGGCCAGAAGCCCCCCAGCCUUUGCAGAGACAGUGCUGUGUAGUUAUGCUGAAGGCCACAGGGGAAACUCUGGAUCCAUGAAACUUGGAGUACUUUGAGCUACAAUUUAGCUGGACCUAACUCUAAGGGACCAUGAUGGCAUUUUUAAAGCAGCUGGUUUUAGCUCAGACCUUAAGCAGCCUCUUGUGACUCCAUGUAUAACUGUGGUAGAUGGUUUUGGCAGAAGAGUAGCAUAGUUAUAGGUAUAUGCUUGUAGUGGAAUGCCAGUCUUCCUUCAGUAGGAUUUAGUUAUCCUCAAGCAAUGAGGUCUGGAUCUGAGGUUUAAAUCUGGAAAUUAGAUCUAUAGAAAUCAUGAUUUUUACAUUGCUGUGGUUAACACCAUCCUUAUCGGCAUGGGUGUAAACGCAUUUUGUAAACUGGUCUACAAGUGAAAUACUGGUCAGGUGCCCUCUUUUCUAAGAAUGGCUGUGGUUAGCUAUGGUCAAAACCCCCUGCAGGUCAAGAGAAACUGGUGGCAAUAUCAGACUUGCUGCCCAUCUAUAAUCAUAUUCACCUUGCCUCUGAGUCUAGGUACCAAUUUUGGUCACUAUCAACCCCAUCUAUUCCAGGGAGCCCUGUCUCAGGGCAGCAUUUCCUAGCCCACAGAGACACAAAGCUUACAACUGUACUCCCAUGCAUUCUGAAUUGUCCGAGUGAAGAGUGUCUCCUGAGCCUACCACGGAAGAGUCAGCUUGUGGCUUCUGUCAGAUGUGCCUGUUAUAUAAAAUGAUCCUCACUUCCCUGAGACGGAAGCUUACCAGUAUAUUCUGAGCAGUUCUGAUGAAGGUCAUGGUGUCCAAGCGUUCAGGAAAAAAAUUCCAGCAGAAGACCAGUUUCAAGGGUCUUUUCUAAGAUGCUAAAUCCUGGAUCACGGGGGAGGACCAUCCUAUUCAGCCCACUCCAUUUCUAACAUCCUCGAGAUCCACUUCCCAGUUCCUAUUGAUGAAUGUUAAGUAAUGCAAGCAUUCCAAUGAAUGCUUACUCCCUCCUAAAGCAAGCAGCACUUGUCCCUCUUCAGGUUAGGCUGAGCACUGACCCUAGACAACUUGCUGGAUACUGUGAGGAAAGGGAGGGAUAACCUUGAUGAGCAUUAUCUUGUAAAACAUUGUGUAGUGAACAGGCUGCUAAUCACCAGUUGUAGGUGGUAGGGGCUUGUGACUGCCAUCUUGGAGGUUUCAAAGGAAUCUGCCCAAAUACUCUUGGGCUCAUCUACUUAGGAUAAACUUGACCCAGGUCUGAGUCUCCUGCUCCUUCCUUAUUAGGUUGUUGGCUUUAGCGUGAGAGAUCUGUGCCUUGGGUCUCUUUUGCAGCUCUGCCCUUCAAACCCGUGACCUAAUUGUUGUAGCCUUCUAGCUGGGGAACAUGGAGGUCUUCCAAGGUGGUUACACCUUCUGGCUAUUGCCGCAUCCACAUGCCCUGAGCUAGCUGAUUUUAAGUUGACUUCUCUGAGUCUGAAAGGAUGACUGGCUCCCAAAGCAGUUAGCAAGUGCCAGCCAACUCCACAAACUUAUAAUUGCCUUCUUACCCAUAUUGUUUAAGUGCUAGAACUCUAGGAGAACCCAAAUGUUUCUCCUCCACUCUGUACCACAUCCAGAUGCAACAGAGGUGAGUCUUAAUACCCAACUUGAUGCAGUUAUCACAGUGAUUAUCAUCACCCCAUUUACCAACAGCAUCACAAUACUUUCUGCUCUCAAGCUAUUGUCGUUCCAGACUUAAUUUGAGAGCCUGCUUUCUAUAGGCUUUCUACUGUCUUAGCUCGGCUUCCUUAAAAACAGAGCCCAAGACCAAAAGUUUAGUGCAAGCCAUGUAUUUUGGGACUUUAUCCCCUAUAGCAGGAGUGAGGUAACCAGACAAAAAUGAAAAGGAAAUCAUUGAAGUUUGUCAUGGGCAGUGUGAGCUUGACUCUGCUGAAACCUUCAAGCAUGCUUUGUAGCAUUGUCAGCCAGAAGCUUUGGAAGCAGGGACCCUAAUCAAAUGAGUAUUUGCCUUCCAUUGGUAGAUGGUGGUUCUUGGGUAUUAGCCUGAGAGCUAUAGGUCUGCGGCAAGAAGUGGAGAGUUUAACCCUAGUCUUGUUCCCUCUGUAUCCAUCUCUGCUUCUAUGGAACUAUAGCUAAAAUCAGCAAUUGGCAGAGGGUAUAUAAGGCAACUGACACUAUAGAAGCAUCUACAACUUCAGGUUUCUUAAACACUUGAAUGAGUGACAGGCUACCAGGUUUUACCCUUGUUACUCUUGCUUGAUCUGUUAUGGUUGGCUUGAAUAAGAAUGUCCUCUUGGCUGUGUACACUAGAGGAGAAAUCAAUGAGUGUUAUUAGAAUGCGGUAGACAUUACAGCAGGAAGUACUUAACGUCAAGGCCUUCUACUUGUUAAGUGAAGACAUAAAAGAAACAUCACCAAAAUUGUGAUCUAGAGACAGGGCAGGCUUGCUUAGAAUGAUUAAUGAAUUCAGCACCAUUGGUGUGUGCCCAACCACUGUUAUAUUUAACUGAAGUGUCUAGGGGUAAAGAUGUUUUAAAUACAUCUCACCCUGUCUACCAGGAGUGGAAGGAAACUACCAGACAACGAGGGGACUAGAAGGACUCUGCACACAGCAGCACCUAAGGUGGAGGAGCCCCUUCACGGGACUGGACUAAGAGUGAAAUAAACAUGCAAGAAACACUAGUGAGAAAAUGGCGAGAGGUCCAAAGAGACUGGAGAGUCCUCACGCUGCAAUGUAGGUCUGACCUCAAAGGAACAGAAGGUAGAGUGAGUCUAAGCCAAGGCUGCUUGUUGGGAUCCCAUAUCCCAGGAACAGACCUGCCUUAGUAUCCCUAGCAUGAUUGGUCACUGCUGGGACUAAGCACAAGAAGUGUGGCCUUGG